rnacentral:rRNA from 1 species
UACGUAGGGGGCUAGCGUUGUCCGGAAUCAUUGGGCGUAAAGCGCGCGUAGGCUGUCAGUUAAGUCUGGUGUGAAAGUCAAAGGCUCAACCUUUGAAUGCCGCUGGAAACUGGCUGACUUGAGUCCGGAAGGGGCGAGUGGAAUUCCUGGUGGAGCGGUGAAAUGCGCAGAUAUCAGGAGGAACACCCGUAGCGAAGGCGGCACUCUGGGCCGAUACUGACACUGAGGAGCGAAAGCGUGGGGAGCGAACAGG